CAUGCCCCGGGGCUGGCGGGUUGAGGCGGUGCUCCCCUCCGGGAGGCCCGGGAACAUUUAAAAGUCUGUCCUCUCCUAGCCACCUCUGACUUAGAACAGUGUGCUCCGUCUCUCACUUGGCACACGUGAAAAUACCUCCAGAUUAACAAAUGGUCCCUGAGAAGGAAAAUCAUGCCCAGACAGAGCUACUGAAAACACAGAAGACUUACUUUCAUCAUCUGAAUCAAAUCCAAAGAGUGUCUGACAUUUCUUUUGUGCAAGGUGAGCCUCAAGU